rnacentral:rRNA from 1 species
GAUGAACGCUGGCGGCGUGCCUAAUACAUGCAAGUCGAGCGAACAGAUAAGGAGCUUGCUCCUUUGACGUUAGCGGCGGACGGGUGAGUAACACGUGGGUAACCUACCUAUAAGACUGGAAUAACUCCGGGAAACCGGGGCUAAUGCCGGAUAACAUUUAGAACCGCAUGGUUCUAAAGUGAAAGAUGGUUUUGCUAUCACUUAUAGAUGGACCCGCGCCGUAUUAGCUAGUUGGUAAGGUAACGGCUUACCAAGGCAACGAUACUUAGCCGACCUGAGGGGGGGAUCGGCCCAACGGGACAUGAGAACCGGUCCCGCCUCCUACGGGGGGCAGAAGUGGGGAAUCUUCCGAAAUGGGCGAAAGCCUGAGGGAGCAACGCCGCGGGAGUGAUGAAGGUUUUCGGAUCGUAAAACUCUGUUAUGAGGGAAAAACAAAUGUGUAAGUAACUGUGCACGUUUUGACGGUACCUAAUCAGAAAGCCACGGCUAACUACGU